CUCGGUGGCUCCUCGGAGCUCCGUCCGGCUGCCCGUGUCAGCCCAGAAAGGCUGCGGCCCCUCCGCCUGGCUCUGUGCCUCAGCCCGGCUGUUGCUGAGCGCUCGCCGUGUCGCUGUCAGGGGAGCACCGGCCAGCCCGGCGCAGGGCUUUGGGAGGCUGGAGAGGAAUGAGGAGCUGCCCCCCCCACGGAGCUGCGCCCCAUCUCAACACAGACGCGGUUCGAGAUGAUGUUGAUGUUUUUAUUUUUUGGUCAAUAAGUCCAAUUUCAGAUCUUACAAAUGCCAAUUUCAGAUCUGACCACUGCCAAUUUCAGAUCUUACAAAUGCCAAUUUCAGGUCUUCCAAGUCCAAUUUCAGAUCUUCCAAGUCCAAUUCCAGAUCUGACAAAUGCCAAUUUCAGAUCUUCCACGUUCAAUUUCGGAUCUUCCA